GCGCAUAUAGCUCAGUUGGUAGAGUGUUUGCUUCACAUGCAAAAGGCCCUGGAUUCAAUCCUCAGUACCACA
rnacentral:tRNA from 1 species